CAAUAUUGAACAGCUUUGUAACGUAAUCACGCAGCACUUGAAUGACGAAACAGGAGCGAUCACUAAAAGGUAAAAGCAAAAGAUUGAAACGUUAAAAUAAUGGAAUCGUUGGAUGCCACUAAUGCUUCUUUGACCUUCGUUCGUUCAGGGUCCCAACGGCGCCCUGUUUAGCACCUGGCUCCGGAUGUUUUAAUCUUCAUCGAAUGUUUACUUGUUGUAGGAAUUAUUCAAGAAAUGUCACACCAGAUUAAGACCAUUAAACCACUUGUGAGUAAUCAAACCAUAAAGGAAGGGCUAUACUAUUUCUGCUAAAACGGAAUAUUGAGCUUCCAACAAUCAAAGAUGAAGCCUCACUGAAAAUCCAUACGUUAAGUAGGACAGU